UACGUAGGAUGCAAGCGUUGUUCGGAAUUACUGGGCGUAAGAGUACGUAGGCGGUAUGGUAUGUCUGAUAUUAAAGACUGAGGCUUAACCUCAGGACUGUAUCGGAAACUGCCAAACUGGAGGACAAUAGAGGAAGUCGGAAUCCUCAGUGUAGCGGUGAAAUGCGUAGAUAUUGGGAAGAACACCAGUGGCGAAAGCGGACUUCUGGGUUGUUACUGACGCUGAGGUACGAAAGCGUGGGGAGCAAACGGG
rnacentral:rRNA from 1 species